AUUUUUGACAAUCAAGUAAAUAUUACUUCACGAAGAAUGUUGAGCUAAUUAUUCUAUAAUUUUGGUUUUUAAUUUACGUGUAGCAAAAUGUGAGGAUAAAGAGUAAUUAGGGGUGAUAGGCCUAUCAAAUUGUUGGAUAUCUUGAACUGCAAGAAUUAUAUUUAGUAUAUAGACAUUAUAAAAAUGGUUAGGUUUUUAUAUUACAUUAAUGAUAAUGAGCAUUUUAUAGUUUAUUUAACAAUUACUAUAUUACAUAUUUUAUAAUUUAGCAUUUGAUGUUUGUGAAGCUUAUUGUGGGAUUUUUAAAGCCAAGUUUAUAUCUACUUAAUGAAAAUAUUAGUAUAAUACUAAAUUAUGAAAAGGAACUCGGCAAAGUUUUGCUCAACUGUUUAACAAAAACAUAGCUAGAUGAUGUUACAUUUAGUUUUUUCUGCUCAAUGGUUAAAUUAAAUAGCCGCAGUA
rnacentral:rRNA from 1 species